GAUGAAGAACGUAGCGAAAUGCGAUAAGUAAUGUGAAUUGCAGAAUUCAGUGAAUCAUCGAAUCUUUGAACGCACAUUGCGCCCGCCAGCACUCUGGCGGGCAUGCCUGUUCGAGCGUCAUUUCAACCAUCAAGCCCCCAGGGGCUUGUGCUGGGGCCCUGCGGCUGCCCGCAGGCCCUGAAAACCAGUGGCGGGCUCGCUAGUCACACCGAGCGCAGUAGCACAUCUCGCUCAGGGCGUGCGGCGGGCUCCUGCCGUGAAACCCCCCACUGUAACCCUAAAGGUUGACCUCGGAUCAGGUAGGAAUACCCGCUGAACUUAAGCAUAUCAAUAAGCGGAGGA
rnacentral:misc_RNA from 1 species